CGUUCUAUCGCCGAAGUGGUGAAAGCAUCGCCGAUUACAGACGAAGAUGCGGGUUCGAGUCCCGCUUGAACGG
rfam:Operophtera brumata OBRT01_Sc01166, whole genome shotgun sequence.